CUAUGCGCUUCCAGAGGAGAUCGCGGCUACUGAGGAAGCGCAGGCGGCGGCAGACCUGGCCCAGGCGGCCCAAGGCCUGCACGUCCAGGAGCCUGGAGUACUGACAACACAGGAGGAUCCUGGUCCAAAAUGGCAAAGUAGCCCUCCACAGACAGUGGAGCAGGAAAAUAUGAGUACAGUGUUGUUUUAUUCUUUCUUACAGUAUUUUCCACUCUACAGAAACCUGAAAUGCUUAAGGAAACUUCUGCCUCGGAAUUAAAAGAUACAUAAAUUAUGAAAAGUAAAUCAUCUACCUAGAA